GGGGCUGGGUGGGGGAGGAGCUGGAUGGCGUGGUAAGAGCGGUCACGUGACAACCCUUCUGGACUCAUAGCUGGGAAAGUGACGUCUUCCUUACUUCAGUUCUGCAUCCUUCACUCUGUAGAUGCAAGUCGGACAUGGGAGACAGCAGUGAAAGGCUUUGAAACUCAGUGCAUCAGCACCCAGAAGCCUCUUUCUGGCUAUCAAAGAAGAAAGCUGAUCAAAAGGAAAAAUAGAGGAUGUCCCCCACCCAUAGCACAUCCUAAAGUAGGCCAUGAAAUCCUUUCCAUGCAGAGAACAAGUGACUCCAGAAAAGGCUUCUCCUAAUUACCUACUCAGAAAGAAAAACAUGGGCCAGCUCAGUCCUAGAAUCAGUGCUUUCUGGAUGUGGGCUUAGCUCUUCUAUGGGUCUACACAGUGCUCAGCUAGUGCUCUGGAAGAUCCACAUUCUACGCCCUGGAACCUUUAAUGGGAUCAGUUAAAAAUAAAAACUAACUAACAUUGAUGCUUUUUGAUUUUCUACCACAGUUAUUUCUGAGUACACAGCCUUUUCUCUAUCUCCUGAAAACUGAACCUUCUCUGGUAACAAGGAAAAACAAUUGAGGAAAACCAACCAAUGUAGUAGUUGUAUCUGACAAUUUAUUUAAUAUUCUGCACUCAAAGUCCUCCACCUAUCCACCAAAAGGGGAAUGGUCUUUACAAUUACUCAGUUCAACUUCAUUUUAGUAUUAUUUUCCUUUACAUUAUUGUAAUCCAUCACUACAUCAAUUCCUAAAUUUAAUAUUUUUUCCCCAGUACUACAUUAAAAAACAAAACAAAACACUUUUUAAUAUUUGUUUUUAGUUCCACAUUUUCUCCCCUCCUCCCUCCACAUCCUACCUGGCAUUUAGAAUAACAAAAAUUUGUUGUAUGUCAAAUCUUACAAGUCAUCUCAUGUUUCUUUGAAUUCCUCCUAUUCACUAUUUCUUGCAAUGCAAUCAGAUCACAACCAUGACAUCGAUGCAAAUGCCUAGCAGUCAUGAUAUAACAGAAGAUGGAGAAAUAUUAUCUAACAGAAACAAUAAUAUAACACCUUCAGAGAUGCCUUGCCUGACCCAGUGCCCAGCAGAAGGUCUGGCACCUUGGUCACAGAAUCACAGACUCUUAGUAGGGAAGAAACUUCACAAUCCAUCACAUAGUCCAACUCCUACUUCGACAGAAAUCUUUUGUAUCUCUGGCAAAUGUUAAUCCAUCCUCUGAAGGCCUCCAGUGAUAAGCAUCCUAAUUUUUCCCCAUGAGCCCAGUCCAUUUUUGAGAUGUCUAAUUGCUAAGAAGUGUUUACUUUAGUAAUAAGAGAUUCCUUACAGUGAAGAGAUUCCUUUCAUUGUCCCUAGUUCAUUUAGACAUUCAACAAAUAAUUAUUAAGUCUGCCACAUGACAGAUACCGGAAAGGCAAAGACGGAAAAAAAAACCCUAAACUGUCUCUAUCCGUAGGGAAUUUAUAUUUUAUUGGGAUAAACAACACUUAUGUAAAAAAUUAAAAUUAAAAUAUACAAAGUAUUUUUUUCUUGAGAGGGCAGGAGGUAUAGAGGGAACCAGCAAUGGAAGAUCCAGAUAGGCAGUCUGUAAGAAGGGAUGCUUAAACUGAACUCUAAAGAAAGCUAAAGAUUUUAUGAGGAGCAGUAAGGAAGAAAUGCAUUCCAGGUCUGAGAAACAACCUAUGUAAAAGCAGUGGAGAUGAUGAUAGAAUGGGACAAAUUAAAAAACAAAUAGCCUGGUUAUAAUCAUAGUUAAAGCUUGAUGGAACUAAAUUGUAUUGGGCUGAGGUUCGAGUUGAUGCACUGAGAUCCCAAGCACGUGAGGCUAAAUAGUAAUUGGACCAUACUCUAUUAAUAUAUAUGCAAGACUGCUGGCUGGUGUCUUAUCACAGCUGCUCACAUUGCUAAUCCCCCUUCAUCUCUGAUCCCCCUUCACCUCCGAUUGCCCUUCACCUUCGAUCCUUCUUCACCCGUACUAAGAAUAAAGAUCGAUGAUUUUCCCCUAACCUGAAUUCCUGACUCUGGCUGAUUUUAAAAUACGCAGUCAUCACACUAAAUGAAUCACUACACCAAAGUGAAAGAUCAAGCUAUGAGGUAAAUUACUUGCUAGUAUUUUUUUUUGCAUGGUACACCAACACAGUGGCUACUCAUACUACUAUCUUAAAAGAUUCACAGCUAUGAGCCUGACUCCUAAAGAAUCCUGUUCUUUUUAGUGUUCAUGAAACCUCCAUUAAUAGAGAGAAAAACACUAGAAAAGAGAUCAGUAAGAAGAGAUUAUUGCAAGCAUCUGGAAGGAAAGUGAUGAGGAUCUGAACUAUGGUGGUAACUGUGUGAGUAGAGGGAAGGGCACAGAUGUAGGAUAUAUUAUGAAGACAGAAUUAUUAAGAAUAUGCUAUUGAGUGAUUAUGGUGGGUAAGGUAGAGGAAAGAGUCAUAAUUCAAGGUUGCACACCCAAGGGAAUUGGAAGGAUGGUGAUAUCCUCAACAGAAAUAGAGAAGUUAGGAAGAGAAGGAGGUUUAGAAGAGAGGAUGGGGAAGAUAAUUAUGCCCUUUCAGUCCAAGGAGAAUGAGUUUAAUUUCUCUUCCAUCUCUAGAUUUCAAAUCAUAUAUCAGAUAUGCAAACACCCUAAGAUAUAAAAGUAGCCCAAACAUCUUCAAUUCUUCUAUCAGUACUCAUGGAAUCAUCUUCAUUCCACUUACCACCACAGGUUUUUCUCCCUAGGAUGUGUUCUAAGUUUACAAAAUUGUUUGUAAAAAUGCAGUACCCAGAACUAAACAUAAUACUCUAAAUAUACACUAUAGGACUAUCAGCUCCUUUGUUCUGAUCAUUUGGCCUCCUUUAAGGCAGCCUAAGAAUGCAUUCACUUUGUUUGCUGAAAGACUGCAUUGGAUGGGCAGGUGAAGAUGAACUGUCAUCUAUAUCCUUGGAGGGAACUCCCAAUUAGUCCACUUGAGUAUCAGAGUAUGUUGCACUGUUGAUUCAUAUUGAGCUUCCAAUCUACUAUGAUUCCCAGGAUACUUUGAAGAGGAUUGAUUUCCAAACAUAGCACCUUUAUCCUAUGCCUAUAUAGCUAAUUUCUUGAACUCAAAUGUAAGAUUUUAUAUAUAUGCCUAUAUUAAAUUUGAGCUUGUCAGAUUUGACUCAUAAUUUGAGCCUACUGAGAUCUUUCCAGAUCUUGACUCUGGAGUCUUUUAAAAAAAUUUUUUUCUGACUCUGGAUUCUAAUGCUAGUUAUCCCUGUGAUCUUAAUGUCAUCUAUCCUUCUAAAACUUUGCAUCUCUUUGAAGCCAGAAUCAAAUCAGUAUCCUUGGAAUCCCCACAGACUGAGGUCUAUUUCACCAUAUGACUUAUUAAACACAACUCAGAGAAAGUGAAGUAGGCCUUCAUUUUCCUUCCAGCUGACAUACUCCCUUUCCAUAAAGAAUGCAUAAAAGUAAAUGUGGCUUUACUCCUUCAUAUUUCUCCAGUUAGAGGUGGAAGGUGGCCAGAGCCAAGAUGGCAGAGAAUAAAACAUUUCCUGAGCUCUCCCUAGCUUCCCUCAGAAUCAAAGCUAGAUCAAGCUCUGAACAGAUUUUGGAGGAUAGAACCCACAAACAUUCAUAGUAUAAUAAUUUUCCAGCUUAAGAUAUUUUGGAAGGACUUCAGGAAAAGUCUGUCUCAUUGGACAGAGAGGAACACGGCCCAUUGCAGUUGCAACAAAGAAAUACCCUGUGCAGGGAGGCUCUUAGCCAAAAUACAGCAGCAGUGGUUACUCUGUCCUGGUUCAGAAGGCCAGUGGAUCAGCAACCCUGCUGUGAGAUCUCCAGCACAACUACAGAAAGCAAAUUGGGAGCCUUCAAAUCCCAGCAUAACAGGCGAGACUUGGCCAGACCCAUCCAGUGCAGUGGGAGAGCUUGCAGGACCACCACCAACCUUGCCUAGGCAGUGAGAGGCCCCUAUCCUCAUGUAAAAGAACUGGGUUAAUUUCCCCUAUGCCUUAGGAGCAGAGUUCAGUGUUUAAAAAUGAGCAAAAAAGCAAAAUGAACCCUGACCAUAAAAAGCUACAAUGGAGAUAGGGAAGACCAGAACACAAACCCAGAAGACAGCAAAGACAAAAUGCUUUCAGGUGAAACCUCCAAGGAGGAUAUGAACUGGGCUCCAGCACAAAAGGCUUUCUUAGAAGAGUUCAAAAUGGAUCUUAAAAGAGAGAGGAAAAAAUGAGUCCUCUACAGGAGAAGAAUGAAAAGUUGGGGAAAAGAGUCAACGGCUUAGAAAAGGAGACAAAGAAAUUGGCUGUUAGAAAUUACCUAAGUGUGAAGGGGCAGGUCAAUUCUCCAAAAGCCCCACAGCUGGAACUCAUAACACACUUGAAGUAAUUGCAAAUCAGCCUUUACUGACACAGAUAUUGCUUGUGAAUUGGGAAUGAAAUAAAUUGGAGGCAAGAGAGAAGAGGAGAGAGAUCAGACAAUGCAACUCCUUUCAGUCUCCUUGUAUCAUCAUUAUUCUCUCACAUGAAGGGAUAUAUUCUGGUGGUUAGAAUUAGAUCCCUAGCAGCCACUACCAGGUGGCUCCUGUAACACGCAGCAGUCAUUAGCAGUUGCUCCUGUAACAACUGGCUGAAGAAAACAAUUCCUUAAAUAAUAAAUUUGGUGAAAUGGAAAAAACAUAUACUUAAGAAAACAACUUAUUAAAGAUUAAAUUUAGUGAAAUGAAAAGAGAAAACUCCUUGGAAAACAGAAUUGGCAAAAUGGGAAAAAAUCCAUUGAAUGAAACAAGUACAACUGGCCAAAUGCCAAAGGAGUUAAAUUGGUCAAACAAUACCAAAAAAAAAAAAAAAAAAAAAAAGAAAAGAAAAGAAAAAGGAAGAAAACAGUUGACCUAGAAAAUAGAUCCAAAAAGACAAAUCUAAGAAUUAUUGAACUACCUGAAAACCUAAAUGAAAAAAAGAGCCUGGACAACAAUUUUAAAGAAAUAAUCAAAGAAAACUGUCCUGAUAUCCUAGAACCAAAGAAUAAAAUAGUAUUGAAAGAAUUCACUGAUCACUUCUUAAAAGUGACCCCAAAAUAAAAACUCCAAGGAAUAUUGUAGGUAAAUUCCAGAUCAAGGAGAGAUAAAGGAGACCAAUCAAGGAGAGAAUACUGCAAACAGCCAGGAAAAAAAACCAAACAAUUCAAAUAUCAAGAAGCCACAAUUAAGAUUACCCAGGAUCUAGAAGCUUGCACUUUCAAGGAUCAAAGGGUUUGGAAUAUGAUAAUCUGGAAGACAAAAAAGUUUGGACUAUAAGCAAGAAUCAACUACUCACCAUUAUCUUUCAGGGGAAAAGAUGAACAUUCAAUGAAAUAGGGGAUUUUCAAUUAUUUUUAAUGAAAAGAUCAGAGCUGAAAAGAAAAUUUGAUCUUUUGAUACAAGACUCAAGAGAAGCAUUAAAAAGGUAAAAAGGGAAGAAAAAACUUUUUAAAAGUUAAAAUAUUUACAUCUUUAUAUGGGAAGAUAUGUGUAACUUGAAAACUGUAUCUUUGUCAGGGCAGUUAGAAGAGGUAUACUUGGAGGGUAUAGGUAUAAUUUGACUUUAAUGAUAUAAGAAAAUAUAUAGAAGUGGAAAAGGGAUUGUACUGGGAGAAGAGAAAAGAGGAGGUAAAAUGUGAUAAAUUGCAAGUACAAAAGGGGUAUAAAAAUAUUAAAAUUGAGGGAAAGAAGGCAGUGGGAAGAGCAUUAUUUGAACAUUAAUUUCAUCAGAUUUGACUCAAAGAAGGAAUAACAUAUACAUAUUUAAUUUGAUAUAUAGAAAUUUUUCUCACCCUAAAGGGAAGCUAGGGAAAGGGGAAAGGAAAGAGAGAGGCUAAUGAAAGGGCAGAAGUACAAGGGGAAAGGGACAGGUAAGGUAGAGAGGCUGAAAAAAGAGAAGGUAGAUUGAGGGAGAUGCUGGUCAAAAAGAAAACACUAGUGAGGAGGGAAAAGGUGAAAGAAGAAAAGUAUAAUUUGGGAAAAAUAAGAUGGUGGAAAAUGUACCAUAGAUAAUAAAGUAAUAUCAAUAUUAAAUAUAUGCAUCAAGUGGUAUAAUAUUCAGAUUCUUAGAAGAGAAGUUAGAUGAGUUGUAAGAAAAAAUAGACAGCAAAACUAUACUAGUGGGGGAUUUCAACUUCCCUCUAUCAGAACUAGAUAAAUCUAACCACAAAAUAAACAAUAAAUAACUCCUUUAAUAUAAUUUUAGAAAAAUUAGAUAUGAUAGACCUUUGGAGAAAAAUGAAGGGGUAUAGAAAGGAAUAUACUUUUUUCUCAGCAGCAUAUGGCUUCUACUCCAUGGCAUGUGAUGGCAUAAAAUCUUUACAAUCAAAUGCAGAAAAACAGAAAUAGUAAGUGCAUCCUUUUCAGAUCAUGAUGCAAUAAAAAUUACAUUCAAUAAAGAGCCAGGGAAAGACAGAUUAGUUAAUUGCUUUUUAUUCUAAUUCUAAAGAAUGAGUGGGUGAAACAACAAAUCGUAGAAAUAAUUGAUAAUUUCUUUCAAGAGAAUGACAAUAAUGAGACAACAUACCAAAACUUAAUACAAUUCUUAGGAGAAAUUUUAUAUCUCUUGAUGCUUACAUGAAUAAAAUAGAGUGAGAAGGUCAGUGAAUCGGGCAUACAACUAAAAAAAAUCUAGAAAAACAAAUCAGAAACCUCCAAUUAAUUACCAAAUUAGAAAUUUCAAAAGUCAAAGGAGAGAUCAAUAGUUUAUUGAACUAAUAAACAAAACUAAGUGCUGGUUUUGUGAAAAAGCCAACAAAAUAGAGAAACUUUUGGUUAAUUUGAUUAGAAAAAGGAAAGAAGAAAACCAAAUUACCAGUAUCAAAAGUGAAAAGGAUGAAUUUACUACCAAUGAAGAGGAAAUUAAAGUAAUAAUACAAAGAAGCUAUUUUGCCCGAUUGUAUGCCAAUAAAUCUGAUAAGCUAAGGGUAAUUAAUAAAUACUUUUAAAAAUAUAGAUUGCCCAGAUUAACAGAUGAAGAAAUAAAUGACUUAAAUUGUCCCAUUUUAGAAAAAAGAAAUCAAAUAAGUCAUUAUUGAACUCCCUAAGAGAAAAUAAAUCUUUACAGUCAAAUGGAUUUACGAAUGAAUUCUAUCAAACAUUUAAAGAACAAUUAAUUCCAAUACUAUAAAAAUUAUUUGAAAAAUAGGAAAAGAAGACGUGCUACCAAAUGCCUUUUAUGACACAGAUAUGGUAGUGAUAACUAAACCAGGAAGGACUAAAACAGAGAAAGAAAAUUAUAGAUUUAAUUUCCUUAAUGAAUAUUGAUGCAAAAAUCUUAAAUAAAAUAUUAGGCAAAGAGAUUACAGCAAUUUAUCACCAGGAAAAUAUACUAUGACCAAAUAGGAUUUAUACCAGGACUAAAGAAUUGAUUCAAUAUCAGAAAACUUUUAUCAUAAUUGACCAUAUCAAUAACCAAAUUAACAGAAAUCAUAUCUCAAUAGAUGCAGAAAAAGCAUUUGCUAAAAUACUAAUUCCUAUUUAAAACACUGGAGAGCAUAGGAAUAAAUGGAAUUUUCUUUAAAAUUAUAAGUAGCAUCUAUUUAAAACCAUCAGCAAGCAUAUGUAAUGGGAUAAACUAGAAGCAUUCCCAAUAAAAUUAGGAAUGAAACAAGGUUGCCCAUUAUUACUAAUAAUAUUCAAUAGUGUACUUAAAAUGUUAGCUUUAACGAUAAAAGAAGAAAAAGAAAUGGAAGGAAUGAGGAUAAUGAGGAAACUAAAUCAUUCAUUCUUUGCAGAUGAUGGUUUACUUAAGAGAAUCCCAGAGAUUCAACUAAAAAACUACCAGAAACUUUGAACAACUUGCAUUUCAUAAUGUUCUUCAAUUUUUUGGCUAUAAAUUCCUUCCUUCUCCAGAGAUCUGGGAAGCAGACUAUCCCUUGUUCUUCUAAUUUGCUUAUAGUAUCACCUUUUAUUUCUAAAAUAUGAACCCAUUUAGACUUUAUCUUUGUAUAGUGUAUCUAUAUCACUAUAGUAAUCUAAUUUUUCAUAAACUCCAAGGCUCCAGCUUUUGGGAUAAGAAGUUACUGUCUGAGAAAGAUUGCUGGGAAAACUGCAAAGUAGGAUGGAACGAAUUAGGCAAUGAGUAAUACUUAAUAUCCUACACACUAGAUAGAUGUUUUAUGGCAGAGUUCUAACAUCUUGUUAAGUAACCCUGAUAGAGAUAUGACGAAACUCAUGGACACCACUUUGUCUUUGUAGGCUAAAAGUGGAAUGUGGGAUAAUGAAAAAAUUUGGAAAUGAUACCCCAUAAUGCCAGACAUUUUGGUAAAUGUAUUUCCCAUGUGUUACUGUCUAAUAGAAGUUUUGAUUACCAAAUCAAUAGCAAUGUGCCAGGGAGAGCAAAAUUUUCUGUGCUAUAAAUAUUAUGCUUAUAUAAAAACUAAUAUUUUCAAAGUGAGCCUCAUUGUAUAUUUGUUGAAACUCCAAAAGUUAUUAAUACUUUGAGUGCUACUAGUCUUGACUUUUCCUUACACAGUCAAAAUGCAAUCAUACUGAAGCAGCUUAUAUAUAUAUAUACACACACAUAUACAUGUGUGUGUAUUUAUAUAUGUAACAGAGAAGAAUAUAGCUCUGCAGGUUCAGAUGGUAUACCCCAUCAACUUGCAAAUAAUUAAAGCUAGAUGGUAAUUCAGAGAUCACCUAAUUCAUUCUUCACCUCUCAUUCCCCUUAUUUUAGAGAUUAAAAAAAAAAAAAACUGGGACUCAGAAACCUGACUGAUUUACUUAUGGUCACUGUAACAUCUGGGCUAGCUUUCUGAGGGUCCUCUGGAUGGGUCUUGGUCUCAGCAAAAUAAUCAUAGUCUAAAGUCUUUAUUGUCUCUUCCAUAGUCUGUCUCCUUCAUAGUCUGUUCAUUCUGACUUGACUAUGUCCCUGGUUCUCUCAGCCCUUAAUAUCCUAUUACAACUACAUCAUUACAGCACACUGAGUAUAUGACAACUAGAGUGAUUAUAUCAUUAUGUCAUAUUAGAUAUAUGUGAACUAGAGAACCAUUAUCUCAUCAAUUCCACUGAGUUAACACCUUGUUGUAAAUAUCCUUGUUUCAAGUAUACUUUCUUCUGGCCCUUUGCAGUCACAGUGAUAAUAAUAAUAAUAACUAACAUUUAUAACACCUUGUAUAUGCCAGUUUACUCUAUGUACUUUAUAAGUAUUAUCUCAUUUCAUCCUCACAACCACCCUGGGAGGUAGGUGCUAUUAUUUUUCUUGGUAGAGCUAGUAAUUGAAGCUAGAGGUCUUUGGACCAUUCUUCUGCUACAGCAAACUUUCUCCUGAUCACAAAGAUCUGAUUCCUCUGCAUCUAAGCUUAGGAGGCCUCUUUAUGCUAUGUCUUCCCUUUGCUUGAUUACUUGAUACUUGAUCCACUGAUUCUCUAAACAAGUUUGUGAGAUGGGAUCAGGACCUCUCAGGAUUCCUUGAAUGAAUGGCUUUAGCCUGGAGAAUUUCUAUAAGCCAGUUACAAUCAUACUAGUCACAAAAGAGGUUGAUGAUAAGCCUCUAUAGUAGAUUACCAGUAAUCUUCCCAAGACAGACCCUUUUUGAAGAGUUCCUAGAGGAAUUCUAGCAAACUUGUGACAAAAUUCCUCCAAAAUGAAACUGACAUCUGGUGGAACAGUCAGUUCUGGUGGAAAUAAAUGGGGUCAGCUUGUUUUAGUUACUUAGUCAAUACUAGCCUGGAACAAGAUUUUUUUUUUUUUUUUUAAGUUUGUGAAAGACUCUUGGUCAACCCGCUCCAGAAUGAACUCCUGUAGGAUAGGUCAGACAAAGCUGACUCAGCACAUCCAUGGACCAAAAGCCAUCUUUGGCCAUUCAAAAGUAAAUGAAUGGUUGAAAAACCAGUGUCUAAAAAAUAAGAUUUGAAAUUAUAUAUGUUUUCUAUAAAGGACAAAGCAUACCCACCAAAAGUUGUUAAAAUGUAUUUUCCUGAAGUCUUGCCAAUUUUGUAAAAAUAAAAAAAUUAAAAUUAAAAAGGAGGAAGAGGAAGAAAACUGUCAUAUCUAUAUCAACCAUGGUAGUUACCACAGAUUGUUAUUAUUUGUCCUUCAUUUUCAAAGAAGACCAAUUACAUGGUGUCUUGACUUACAAGUGAAGUGAAUUUAAAUGAGACAGAAUCUCAUUGUGCAAAGUUAGCAAACUCACUGUUCUUCAGAGUCACUGGAGUCCAGUGGCAAGACAUGGGUCAAGACAGCUGGCAUUGGCUGUAGGUACCACAGAGAAGUUAACAGUGGAAGAACAACAUUAUACCAGAAGUCCACUAGAGAUAAAAUUUAAGAACAGUGGCAGUCAUAAAACACAUAAUCUCAGUAUCUAUUAUAUGAAAUUUCAUAAAGUAGCAAUCAAGGGCAACCAAAUAUCUUAAAGACAUUCUUGAAUUCAUAGGUAUCACUAAGAUUUGGAGAGAUAUUCUGAAAUCCAGGAACCAGAAAGAGGAAGAUGACAAACAUUUGGCUGAGGAUCAGUGGAGAAAGAAAUAGAAGCAAUAUUGCCUUUGGAGUUCACAAAAGACUACCUGGACAAGAAAAAAAAAUCUAUAAGGAAUUUGAACAAACCGAGUGAAAAAAGCCCAAGGAUUGGGGCCAGAAGGCCUAGCACCAAAUCUUAGGGCUACUAUCCAUGAGAAUCUAGCCAAGUAGCAUAACCAUCCUGGAAAAUUUUUUUCCUCACAUACUAAAUGAGGGGCUAGAUGUCUUUGAGACUCCUCCAGUUUUAAAUCUAUACAAUUAUGAAAAGAUCUGGUGGAUUGUAGAGGAAGAAGAGACUUAGAAGAAUAAUGACUUUUUGGCUUCUUCCAGCACUCAAACUAGGAGCAGUGGGUAGAGAUGGCAAAGAUGUACAUUGAGAUGACAUUGAGAAGAACUAACAAUCAGAGCUCUUCAAAAAUAGAAUGGACUGUGCUAAAGAGUAGCUAGGUACUCCUUGGUGGGUUCAUUCAAACAAAGGCUGGAGGACCACUUGUCAGGUAGGUGGUAGAAGAAAGUCAUCAGGAAUGGAUUGGAAUUAAUGAUUGCUAUGGUCUCUUCCAAUUCUGAGGUUCUCUAUGAAAAGACAGAAUUGUCUUAAGAUGUGGAUGUCCAAGGAAUUCAUCAACCAUCUUAGAUUAUUAAAUGGAAAAUGAAAGCAAGGUCAGGAGAUAGAAUAUGAAAACAAAAGUAUGGUACAGUCCUUUAACAAUAGAGUUAGGUUAUGAUCAAUCUGUAAAUUUGUUUUACUUGAUUGCAUUAUUUCUUACAAGGGUUUUUUGUUUUUUGUUUUCUAGUAUGUUGUGUGUGGGGAGGAAAGGAGGAAGGAGGGAAUAAGAAAAAAAAAUAAUUAAAAAAACCAAAAAUGUUAUUAGUGUUAAAACAGAAUGAACUGAGGAAAUCCCUUUGAGGAAAGGGGAACAAGGAAAGAUUAGUGUCCCUGCUCAGAGUGGGUGGAACAAAGAUAGCACAGAAAUGAAAAGGGUAGUACUAAUCUCCUAUUUUACUAGUUUUCUUUGCUAAGGAGAAUGAUCUCUGAAUUAAAAAGGAUAAAAAAAAUGUUUAAAAGGAAAUUGAUAUCUUAGAUAGAAUGGGAGAUGGGGGUGGAGACAAAAUGGCAGAGAGUAGACAGGUCUUUGAGUUCUUCCUGGCUUCUUUAAGAUCAACAUUUGAUCAAGCCUCUGAACUGGAGUGACAAGAGUUUUGGAGUAACAGAACCCACAAAUAUUUGUAGUGUAAUAAAUUUCCAGCAGAAGAUAUUUUGGAAGAACUUUCAGUCAGGCAAUGGAGAGGAGGUGGCCGAGCACAGGUGCAGCUCAAGGAGCCAGGGUGGUAUGACAACCAUGUAUUGGGGAAUCUACCAGAAGGCUCUUAGCCAUAUAGCAGCAUUGAUUACUCUGUCCUGGUUCAGAAGCCAAUGGAUCAGUAGACUAGCUGUGAGAUCUCUAACACAAAUAUAGAAGGCCAACAUGAACCCCUGAACCCAACAUAAUAAGCAGAACUUGGCUCGCCUACCCAGCAUAGGAAGGAAGCCAGCAACACCUUCUCAGGGUAGUGUGAAGUCCCUGCCACAUAUAAAAAAAGCUUGGAACAAUCUCCCCUUUGCUUUAAAAGCAGACCUCAACCUUUAAAAAUGAGCAAACAAGCAAAAACAGCUCUGACCACAGGUAGUUUUUAUGGAGACAGAGAAGGACAGACCUCAAACUCUGAGGACACUAAAGGCAAAUCAUCUCCAGAUGAAGCUUCAAAGGAUAAUACUGUUGGUCUCCAUCUCACAAAGCUCUCUUGGAAGAAUUCAAAAAGGAUCUUUAAAAAGAGAAGAAAAAUGGGGAAAAGAAAUGAGAACUCUGUCGGAGAGUUUAGAAAAAGAAAGAGAAAUUAUUUGAAGAAAACUCCUUUAAAAAUAGAUUUAGCGAAAUGGAAAAAGGACAUAACUCCUUACAAAAUAAAUAUGAUGAAAUGGAAAAAGAAACCAACUCUCUGAAAAACAGAAUUUGUGAAAUUAAAAAAAAAUUAUUGAAAGUACAAUUGGUCAAAUACAAAAGGAGAUUAAAAACGUAAUUGAAGAAAAUAAUUUGUUAAAAAAAAAUUAGAAUCAAACAAAUGGAAGUGAAUCACUCAAUGAGACAUUAAGCAUCAGUCAAACAAAACCAAAAAAAAAAAAAAAAAAGAGAGAGAGAGAAAAUGUAAAAUACCUCAAUGAAAAAACAACUCACCUGGAAAAUAGAUCCAGGAAAGAUAAUCUAAGAAUUAUUUGACUACCUGAUAGUCAUGAUGAAAAAAAGAA